rnacentral:rRNA from 1 species
GAAACGACUGCUAAUACCGCAUAAGCCCACGGGUCGGCAUCGACCAGGGGGAAAAGGAGCAAUCCGCUUUGAGAUGGCCUCGCGUCCGAUUAGCUAGUUGGUGAGGUAACGGCCCACCAAGGCAACGAUCGGUAGCCGGACUGAGAGGUUGAACGGCCACAUUGGGACUGAGACACGGCCCAGACUCCUACGGGAGGCAGCAGUGGGGAAUAUUGCACAAUGGGGGAAACCCUGAUGCAGCGACGCCGCGUGGAGGAAGAAGGUCUUCGGAUUGUAAACUCCUGUUGUUGAGGAAGAUAAUGACGGUACUCAACAAGGAAGUGACGGCUAACUACGUGCCAGCAGCCGCGGUAAAACGUAGGUCACAAGCGUUGUCCGGAAUUACUGGGUGUAAAGGGAGCGCAGGCGGGAAGACAAGUUGGAAGUGAAAUCCAUGGGCUCAACCCAUGAACUGCUUUCAAAACUGUUUUUCUUGAGUAGUGCAGAGGUAGGCGGAAUUCCCGGUGUAGCGGUGGAAUGCGUAGAUAUCGGGAGGAACACCAGUGGCGAAGGCGGCCUACUGGGCACCAACUGACGCUGAGGCUCGAAAGUGUGGGUAGCAAACAGGAUUAGAUACCCUGGUAGUCCACACCGUAAACGAUGAUUACUAGGUGUUGGAGGAUUGACCCCUUCAGUG